rnacentral:rRNA from 1 species
UACAGAGGUCUCAAGCGUUGUUCGGAUUCAUUGGGCGUAAAGGGUGCGUAGGUGGCUAGGUAAGUCGGAUGUGAAAUCUCGGGGCUCAACCCCGAAACUGCAUUCGAUACUGCCGUGCUUGAGGACUGGAGAGGAGACUGGAAUUUACGGUGUAGCGGUGAAAUGCGUAGAUAUCGUAAGGAAGACCAGUGGCGAAGGCGGGUCUCUGGACAGUUCCUGACGCUGAGGCACGAAGGUCAGGGGAGCAAACGGG